UCAUCAAAUAUAUAACAUAGAUCAUAACGCGUGAAUAAGAGAAUUGACUUUAUUCAGGGCAAUCCAUUUAAACGCGUUAUCAUAUUUUCAAUUUAUUUAUAAUUAAGGAAAGUGUACAGUAGCGAUAUUAAAAAAAAAAAGAGAGAGAGAGAGAGAGAGAGAAAAGAAAAAAGUAUGUCUAAUCAGAUUGUUCGUCGUUUAGUUCCAUGAAAAAUAAUAUUUUCUGAGUGAGCAACUAACCUGCGUAGUUAUUAAAUUACGAAUAUUAUAAAUUGAAAAUGUUUAUCUACGGAUAAAAUCCUCGUUUAUCGUAGGAUAAAAUUAAUCAAGCGAUAUUAAUUAAUUAAUUAAUUAUGACGUAUGCAUUAUAUAUUUGUAAAUGCAUUAACCAUCGAUCUCGAAUAUUUAUUGAUUAAUUUUAUAUACUUGUCAUUCGAAUUUGUUAUGUUUUAAAGUUGAAAAAUCUACGCUGUGGAUAAAAAUGUGCGCGAUGUAAAAAAAAAAAAAAAAAAGAAGAAGAAGAAAAAGGAGAAAAAAAAGAAACGUGUAUAUCAUCCUUGUUUCUAAGUGCUGCAUGCAUCGUUACCGUAUUUUUAAACGGGAAGUAACAGGAAGAAUUUUCAUUUAUUCGCACGAGCAACGUGGAUGGGAAAUAGUAGUAGUAGUAGUAGUAGUAGUAGUAGUAGUAGUAGUAGUAGUAGUAGUAGUAGUAGUAGUAGUAGUAGUAGUAGUAGUAGUAGUAGUUAGCAACAACUACAGUAGCAGUAGCAGUAGCAAUAGCAGCAGCACCAGUUAGCAGUAGCAGCAACAGCGGUAUUAAGAUUCCCUUAUCCUUUACUCGUUCCUCAAGACGCCUGCGAAAAUCUAUUUCCAGCGAUCCAGACGCUCGUAAAACUUUAGUUCGAGACUUUUCUCUUAUUCUCUCUUUAAAAUCGUAUCAACGUUUGAAAUCUGAAAAAGUGGAGAGUAUCGAAAUUGAAAGAGAGAGAGAGAGAGAGGAUAGCUCUCUCUGGGGUAAUAACAAAAUCCAAUCAGCCGGUCUCGAGGUAAUACAAAAUGAAAAAUAAAAAGAGCGAGAGAGAGAGAGAGAGAGAGAGAGAGAGAGAGCGAAGGUCAAAAGUCAGGGAGCGGGGAUAGGUCGGAUCUCGUGUCGCUUGCUCGAGGGUGAAUGCACAUACUACCACUACCACUUCUAUCUUCUUCGUGGCUUGGGACGAAGAAACGUUCGCGCACUUGGCAAAGGACGAAAGGGCUUGAAAAAGAUAGAGAAGAAUAAGAAAGAGAAAGAGAGGAAGAAGGGAGAGAGGGAGGAGGAGUGAGAAAGAGAGAAAAACAGAGAACGAGUCCAUGAGCAAGGAAGCAUAACGAGGAAAGGGGUGAGGGACUGUGAUCGAAGGAGGCGCCGGUAGGAUUGGAUGGCUUGCGUCUAAAGUAAAAAGAAAAAGACGAAGGAGAAGAAGUGUACAUUGCUUCGAUGCAAUACAUAUAUGUAUAUAUACUUAUAUUUCUAUUUAUUUAUUUGUAUGUAUUAUAUAUGAUAUAAAUGUAUGUACGAAAUAUCUAUAACGUGUAUUAUACAUUGUUAUACACGUAUCCUUAUCAUGUAUAUAUAUAUAUAUAUAUUUUGAUGAAUACAAUCACAUAUAUAUUAACAUGUGAUUUGUAUAUUAGUAAUUUGUAAUAUGUGUGUGUGUGUGUAUGUAUAUAUGUAUAUAUAUAUAUACACACAUGCACGUUUAAUAAGUAUACAUAGAUUUGUAUUGUACUAUAUAUAUAUUCUACAUACAGAUAAGUAUAAAUGUGAGUGUGUUGGGAACGAUACGGUGGGACAGUGGGAGGUAUGGUGGGGAGAUGGGGAGAUGGGGUUAGAUCCGUAGCUCUGGCUCGGGUCGUGCCUCGCGUUAGUUGACUUUCGCUCCUCGAAACGCGUCGGCGCGUCGCGUUUCCUUCUUCUCGACGACGCCAGUAGCGCAACCUUUCCUCCCUCGCCUGGUCAUCAUUGUCGUUAUCGUUGUCGUCGUCCUCGUCGUCGUUGUCAUCGUCGUCGUCGUCAUCGUCGUCAUUGUUGUUAUCGUUGUCGUUGUCAUAAACAUUGUCGUUGUUAUUGUUAUUGUUGUUGUUGUUGUUGUUAAACGAUUCCUAUGAAUUUAAUUACUCGCAUCGUUCUUCUCCUUUCUUAGAUGUUUUAGUUUUCUUUUAUCUUUUUUUUUUUUUCUUUUUUACUCUUUUCUUUACGGUGACGACAAAUCCAUUGCACUGUUGUUCCCCUUUGGCAAAGGUCAAAGGUCGUGCGUACACCGUGUGGCCUCCUUGCAAGGCUUGCGUUCCCUUUUUGUAUAUAUCCGUCUCUUUCUCUCUCUCUCUCUCUCUCUCUCACACACACACACACACAUACACACGCACACAUACGCAUACACAUACAUAAUCGCGUUUCUCUGCUGAGUCCUACGCGCUUUUAUACAUGUUAGCGAGCGAGCGCGGUUAAGGCAAAGGAGGAAGGAAGUGCGAGUGAGUUCACAAGAGAGUGAGAAAGAAAGAGUGAAGGAGAGAGAAAAAGAAAGAGAGAGAGAGAGAGAGAGAGAGAGAGAGAGAGAGAAAGAGAGAUAAAAAAGUUACUCCCUCACGCAAUUUCCUUCGAGUAUAAACGUCGACUCGAUUUCCUUGAGCGUCAUCAUCCUGAUUUUCAAUGGAAGAGAUCGAAAUAUCGAUAAGAAGGUA